GAUGAACGCUGGCGGCGUGCUUAAUACAUGCAAGUCGAACGAACAGACGAGGAUUUUGCUCCUCUGUCGUUAGCGGCGGACGGGUGAGUAACACGUGGAUAACCUCCUUAUAUGCCUGGGAAAACCUCGGGACACCGGAGCUUAUACCGGAUAAUAUAUUGAACAGCGUGGUUCCAUAGUGAAAGACGGUUUUGCUGUAACUUAUAGAUGGAUCCGCGCCGCAUUAGAUAGUUGUUAAGGUUACGGCUUACCAAGGGAACGCUGCGUAGCCUACCUGAGAGGGGGAUCGGCCGCACUAGAGCUGAGACGCGGUCCAGACUCCUACGAGAGGGAGCAGUAGGGUAUCGUCCGCAAUGGGCGGAAGCCUGACGGAGUAACGCCGCGUGAGUGAUGAAAGUCUGCGGAUCGUAAAACGCUGUUAUUAGGGAAGAACAAAUGUGGAAGUAACUAUGCACGUCUUGACGGUACCUAGUCAGAAAGCCACGGCUAACUACGUG
rnacentral:rRNA from 1 species